UUUAUGGAGAGUUUGAUCCUGGCUCAGGAUGAACGCUGGCGGCGUGCCUAAUACAUGCAAGUCGAGCGAACGGACGAGAAGCUUGCUUCUCUGAUGUUAGCGGCGGACGGGUGAGUAACACGUGGAUAACCUACCUAUAAGACUGGGAUAACUUCGGGAAACCGGAGCUAAUACCGGAUAAUAUUUUGAACCGCAUGGUUCAAAAGUGAAAGACGGUCUUGCUGUCACUUAUAGAUGGAUCCGCGCUGCAUUAGCUAGUUGGUAAGGUAACGGCUUACCAAGGCAACGAUGCAUAGCCGACCUGAGAGGGUGAUCGGCCACACUGGAACUGAGACACGGUCCAGACUCCUACGGGAGGCAGCAGUAGGGAAUCUUCCGCAAUGGGCGAAAGCCUGACGGAGCAACGCCGCGUGAGUGAUGAAGGUCUUCGGAUCGUAAAACUCUGUUAUUAGGGAAGAAUAUAUGUGUAAGUAACUGUGCACAUCUUGACGGUACCUAAUCAGAAAGCCACGGCUAACUACGUGCCAGCAGCCGCGGUAAUACGUAGGUGGCAAGCGUUAUCCGGAAUUAUUGGGCGUAAAGCGCGCGUAGGCGGUUUUUUAAGUCUGAUGUGAAAGCCCACGGCUCAACCGUGGAGGGUCAUUGGAAACUGGAAAACUUGAGUGCAGAAGAGGAAAGUGGAAUUCCAUGUGUAGCGGUGAAAUGCGCAGAGAUAUGGAGGAACACCAGUGGCGAAGGCGACUUUCUGGUCUGUAACUGACGCUGAUGUGCGAAAGCGUGGGGAUCAAACAGGAUUAGAUACCCUGGUAGUCCACGCCGUAAACGAUGAGUGCUAAGUGUUAGGGGGUUUCCGCCCCUUAGUGCUGCAGCUAACGCAUUAAGCACUCCGCCUGGGGAGUACGACCGCAAGGUUGAAACUCAAAGGAAUUGACGGGGACCCGCACAAGCGGUGGAGCAUGUGGUUUAAUUCGAAGCAACGCGAAGAACCUUACCAAAUCUUGACAUCCUUUGACAACUCUAGAGAUAGAGCCUUCCUCUUCGGGGGACAAAGUGACAGGUGGUGCAUGGUUGUCGUCAGCUCGUGUCGUGAGAUGUUGGGUUAAGUCCCGCAACGAGCGCAACCCUUAAGCUUAGUUGCCAUCAUUAAGUUGGGCACUCUAAGUUGACUGCCGGUGACAAACCGGAGGAAGGUGGGGAUGACGUCAAAUCAUCAUGCCCCUUAUGAUUUGGGCUACACACGUGCUACAAUGGACAAUACAAAGGGCAGCGAAACCGCGAGGUCAAGCAAAUCCCAUAAAGUUGUUCUCAGUUCGGAUUGUAGUCUGCAACUCGACUACAUGAAGCUGGAAUCGCUAGUAAUCGUAGAUCAGCAUGCUACGGUGAAUACGUUCCCGGGUCUUGUACACACCGCCCGUCACGCCACGAGAGUUUGUAACACCCGAAGCCGGUGGAGUAACCUUUUAGGAGCUAGCCGUCGAAGGUGGGACAAAUGAUUGGGGUGAAGUCGUAACAAGGUAGCCGUAUCGGAAGGUGCGGCUGGAUCACCUCCUUUCU
rnacentral:rRNA from 1 species